UAAUUUGACUUUUUAUUUACAGUAGAACCUCGGUGAUUACGAUCACGGCUAGUACAAAUUUCGGGGUGAACGAAAUUUUUUCUGUGGUCCCGGCCAAGGCCCAUUAGCCUGUAAUGGAAUGGAGUACGGUUGUUACGAACCAAUUUCACCCAGUGAUGUUUGAUACGAACAUGCG
rnacentral:lncRNA from 1 species